rnacentral:rRNA from 1 species
UACGUCCACACCUUUUAGGUGUGGGCCAGUUGGCUGUCAUACUUCCAAGAAAAGCUCGAACUACUGUAAAGCAUCAAAUACCUGUACCGUAAACCGACACAGGUGGGUUGGUAGAGUAUACCAAGGGGCGCGAGAUAACUCUCUCUAAGGAACUCGGCAAAAUGACCCCGUAACUUCGGGAGAAGGGGUGCCAAGUAACUAAAAUUGCUUGGUCGCAGUGACCAGGCCCUGGCGACUGUUUAUCAAAAACACAGGUCACCGCAAAGUCGUAAGACAACAUAUGGGGGCUGACGCCUGCCCAGUGCCGGAAGGUUAAAGAAGUUGGUUAUUCAUUCGUGGAGAAGCUGACGACUGAAGCCCCGGUGAACGGCGGCCGUAACGAUAACGGUCCUAAGGUAGCGAAAUUCCUUGUCGGGUAAGUUCCGACCCGCACGAAAGGCGUAACGAUCAGGGCACUGUCUCGGAGAGAGACUCGGUGAAAUAGACAUGUCUGUGAAGAUGCGGACUACCUGCACCUGGACAGAAAGACCCUAUGAAGCUUGACUGUAGCCUGGAAUUGGGUUCGGGCUCUUCUUGCGCAGCCUAGGUGGGAGGCGUUGAAAGCUUUCUUUUGGGAAAGCUGGAGCCAUCAGUGAGAGACCACUCUGGAGGAGCUAGAAUUCUAAUGGCGUUCCUUGAAGCAGGACGCUUGACAGUUUCAGGUGGGCAGUUUGACUGGGGCGGUCACCUCCUAAAAGGUAACGGAGGUGUGCAAAGGUUCCCUCAGGCUGGACGGAAAUCAGCCGUAGAGUGUAAAGGCAGAAGGGAGCUUGACUGCAAGACCUACAAGUCGAGCAGGGGCGAAAGCCGGCCUUAGUGAUCCGACGGUUCCAUGUGGAAGGGCCGUCGCUCAACGGAUAAAAGUUACUCUAGGAUAACAGGCUGAUCUUCCCCAAGAGUUCACAUCGACGGGAAGGUUUGGCACCUCGAUGUCGGCUCAUCGCAACCUGGGGCGGUAGUACGUCCCAAGGGUUGGGCUGUUCGCCCAUGAAAGCGGUACGUGAGCUGGGUUCAGAACGUCGUGAGACAGUUCGGUCCAUAUCCGGUGUAGGCGUUAGAGCAUUGAGAGGAGCCUUCCAUAGUACGAGAGGACCUGGAAGGACGCACCUCUGGUAUACCAGUUAUCAUGCCAAUGGUACACGCUGGGUAGCCAUGUGCGGAGUGGAUAACCGCUGAAAGCAUCUAAGUGGGAAGCCCACCUCAAGAUGAGUGCUCUCCAUCAGGUCACAGGAAGACAACCUGUUUGAUAGGCAGAAGGUGUAAGGCUAGUAAUAGUUUCAGCUGAUCUGUACUAAUAGACCGAUUGAUUUU